rnacentral:rRNA from 1 species
UCCUACGGGAGGCAGCAGUGGGGAAUAUUGCGGUACAAUGGGCGAAAGCCUGAUCCAGCCAUGCCGCGUGUGUGAAGAAGGCCUUUUGGUUGUAAAGCACUUUAAGCGAGGAGGAGGCUACCGAGAUUAAUACUCUUGGAUAGUGGACGUUACUCGCAGAAUAAGCACCGGCUAACUCUGUGCCAGCAGCCGCGGUAAU